GACGAACGCUGGCGGCGCGCCUAACACAUGCAAGUCGAACGAGAGAUGAGGAGCUUGCUCUUCAAAUCGAGUGGCGAACGGGUGAGUAACGCGUGAGGAACCUGCCUCAAAGAGGGGGACAACAGUUGGAAACGACUGCUAAUACCGCAUAAGCCCACGGCUCGGCAUCGAGCAGAGGGAAAAGGAGCAAUCCGCUUUGAGAUGGCCUCGCGUCCGAUUAGCUAGUUGGUGAGGUAACGGCCCACCAAGGCGACGAUCGGUAGCCGGACUGAGAGGUUGAACGGCCACAUUGGGACUGAGACACGGCCCAGACUCCUACGGGAGGCAGCAGUGGGGAAUAUUGCACAAUGGGGGAAACCCUGAUGCAGCGACGCCGCGUGGAGGAAGAAGGUCUUCGGAUUGUAAACUCCUGUUGUUGAGGAAGAUAAUGACGGUACUCAACAAGGAAGUGACGGCUAACUACGUGCCAGCAGCCGCGGUAAAACGUAGGCCACAAGCGUUGUCCGGAAUUACUGGGUGUAAAGGGAGCGCAGGCGGGAGAACAAGUUGGAAGUGAAAUCCAUGGGCUCAACCCAUGAACUGCUUUCAAAACUGUUUUUCUUGAGUAGUGCAGAGGUAGGCGGAAUUCCCGGUGUAGCGGUGGAAUGCGUAGAUAUCGGGAGGAACACCAGUGGCGAAGGCGGCCUACUGGGCACCAACUGACGCUGAGGCUCGAAAGUGUGGGUAGCAAACAGGAUUAGAUACCCUGGUAGUCCACACCGUAAACGAUGAUUACUAGGUGUUGGAGGAUUGACCCCUUCAGUGCCGCAGUUAACACAAUAAGUAAUCCACCUGGGGAGUACGACCGCAAGGUUGAAACUCAAAGGAAUUGACGGGGGCCCGCACAAGCAGUGGAGUAUGUGGUUUAAUUCGACGCAACGCGAAGAACCUUACCAAGUCUUGACAUCCCUUGACGAUGCUGGAAACAGUAUUUCUCUUCGGAGCAAGGAGACAGGUGGUGCAUGGUUGUCGUCAGCUCGUGUCGUGAGAUGUUGGGUUAAGUCCCGCAACGAGCGCAACCCUUAUGGUCAGUUACUACGCAAGAGGACUCUGGCCAGACUGCCGUUGACAAAACGGAGGAAGGUGGGGAUGACGUCAAAUCAUCAUGCCCUUUAUGACUUGGGCUACACACGUACUACAAUGGCGUUAAACAAAGAGAAGCAAGACCGCGAGGUGGAGCAAAACUCAGAAACAACGUCCCAGUUCGGACUGCAGGCUGCAACUCGCCUGCACGAAGUCGGAAUUGCUAGUAAUCGUGGAUCAGCAUGCCACGGUGAAUACGUUCCCGGGCCUU
rnacentral:rRNA from 1 species